rnacentral:sRNA from 2 species
CGAUGCACAGGCCAAACCACCUGCCCCCAAAAUGCCAAUGACGCGGAUUUUCUUCUUAAGAGACAUCUGCAGCGAAUGGGUCAAAAGAAGCGGCAAGACCAAAAUUGUCAAGUCGCUCACGACACUGAUAAUUGCAUCAGCUAGAAUAAUGGCUCGUUCAUCCAAGCAUGACCCAUUCGAAGCCUGACCCAUCCAAAAGUGGGAUAUGGGCAUACAGAUGCGGAUUUUAACGAUGAUCGCGGGGACGUAAUAUGCGAGCAGUACCCCAAAGUAUACAUAUAUGAACCUUACCGUUUUGCGGUAAGGCGCGAAAACUCGGGUUAGGAUUAGGAGGAUGGAUGCCUUCGUGAGAAAUGCGGCUGGUCCGUAUAUGACCAUGGUUCCGUACACGGUCUGUUUUGUUGUGCUCGAUUGAUGAGCAGUUCAUAUCUUUAGCAUCCGUGUUCUGCACAAUGACAGAUGAUACUGUUUAUCCAAUCCCCUUUUUUUACGCACCUUAUUGAACGGGACAAGAUCUGCCUUUGGGACAUCCCAUUGGUGAUACCCGCCACCAUAUUUGCCCACUACAAGGGGAUCAGUCAGUGCAUUGGAUGAAUUAAGCAAUGCGCCAUACUUCAAGGGAGACGAACUCAAAAUUGCAAUGAUGGAAUAACCAAUUCCGAGAAACUAAAGCGGCAAGUCAGCCAUACUGCCUCGGCAGAUGCACAGACAAAGUUGGAUGCACAAACCCAAGCAAGCGAACAACACCCUUUUUGCAUGUGUUAGCUCCUGCCCUUGUCCUUGGAACAAAUGAUGAAGGGGAGACAAUGUCCGAUCCAGCAGAUAUAACUUACAAUCUUCCCUUCCGAACCCCUUAUUAACACAAACCCGGACAUACAUCCUCAACAAGAAAAUUAUUGACGUUAAGGAGAUGCAGAGACCCUGCGUGAUAAGAUUCCACAUAUGUAAUGCCUCUCCCGGCCCGUUGAAGUUGGACUCGAUGCCCGACGGAGGCGUCAGAGCUGCCUCUGUUUGAGCGGCCGCGGAUGCCAUAGUUUCGCCUCUAGUGACUAUGAAAAUACCUCACGCUAUCUCUUCUUCAACGUCUUCCCCUUCUUACUCUUCCCCUUCUUCUUUUCCUUCCCCCCGUUUCAGCAAACAGAGUCAAACGAGUGACGAAAACAAAAAAUACUUUUCGACGACUCACAAAUCAAAACCAUAUACUUUUGAAUCAGAAAAGUCAUGAAAUCUCAACAAAUCAA